CGUAGGUGGCAAGCGUUGUCCGGAUUUAUUGGGCGUAAAGCGAGUGCAGGCGGCUCGAUAAGUCUGAUGUGAAAGCCUUCGGCUCAACCGGAGAAUUGCAUCAGAAACUGUCGAGCUUGAGUACAGAAGAGGAGAGUGGAACUCCAUGUGUAGCGGUGAAAUGCGUAGAUAUAUGGAAGAACACCGGUGGCGAAGGCGGCUCUCUGGUCUGUUACUGACGCUGAGGCUCGAAAGCAUGGGUAGCGAACAGGAUU
rnacentral:rRNA from 1 species